AUGGUAAGUGUAUUUCAGCUAAAUUAUGGAAUAGUAGGUUUUGGUAAGCCAGCCUGGAAAACUUACAGCCACUUACAGUAUUGUUUCUAUGGAAAAAUGGCUUUGAAUUCUUAAGAGAAUCCGACAAAGAAGUGUGCUUUUGGAAUUAAACCCAUUUGAAAGUUGGGAACUGCUAAAUGCACUAAGGUUUGCACACAUGAAAUAGCAGAUGAGAUUUUCUGGAAUGUUUUCUCAGUAACGCCUUACGCAAUGCUCCAGAAGCUUCCGUGCUCAGCCAAAACAAGUCCAGUGAGAGUCCCUUCUUUCCUCCAUAUGUUCCUCAGGCACACAACGGAAAGACCUGGAACCAACUCAAAUGCCCAUCGAUGGUAGACUGGACAGAGAAAAUGUGGGACAUAUACACCAUGGAAUACUAUGCAGCCAUAAAAAAUGAUGAGUUCAUGUCCUUUAUAUAGACAUGGAUGUACCUGGAAACCAUCAUUCUCAGCAAACUGACAUGAGAACAGAAAAUCAAACCCUGCAUGUUCUUACUCAUAGGUAGGUGUCGAACAAUGAGAACACAUGGAUACAGGGAGGGGAGCAUCACACACUGGGGUCUGUU
rnacentral:lncRNA from 1 species